GAUGAAGAACGUAGUGAAAUGCGAUAAGUAAUGUGAAUUGCAGAAUUCAGUGAAUCAUCGAAUCUUUGAACGCACAUUGCGCCCGUCAGUAUUCUGGCGGGCAUGCCUGUUCGAGCGUCAUUACGCCCCUCAAGUCCCCUGUGGACUUGGUGUUGGGGAUCGGCGAGGCUGGUUUUCCAGCACAGCCGUCCCUUAAAUUAAUUGGCGGUCUCGCCGUGGCCCUCCUCUGCGCAGUAGUAAAACACUCGCAACAGGAGCCCGGCGCGGUCCACUGCCGUAAAACCCCCCAACUUUUUAUAGUUGACCUCGAAUCAGGUAGGACUACCCGCUGAACUUAAGCAUAUCUAUAAGCGGAGGA
rnacentral:misc_RNA from 1 species